UGUGGAAAACGCCAGCGAUCUCAGCGUUAGGAUAAGUUGGCAUAGAGAUCCAGUAGAAAGUAUUUGAUGUCUCUAGUCUACCUGAAAGUUGACCAGUCCAGCCCGCAUCUGAGGAUGGUUUCUGCUAGAAGCACUGGUGAAGAGGACUCUCGUGUUCACAAGAUAUAUACGUAUGUAUGGCUAUAUAUGUUCAUUCAGCCGCAACGCUGCCCUCCCAGAAGAUCUCCCACGUCAGAAGCUGUCUGCUAAAAGAGCAGCUUAGAAAAGAUUCAUGGCAUGGAGUAUUUGUUUUUUAAAAAAGCUAAUUUAUUGGGAUAUUUGCAUAGGUAAGGCUCCCAUGGGAAAUGAGCUGUUUGUGGAAACAGCCAGCUGGUUGCUGCAUGGAUGGUGGCAUGAGCCAAGCACCAUCCUGACAAGAGCACGAGUGUCUGGAGGUACAUUCCCACCAUUUUCAAGUGGAAGGGGGAAAGCACCAAGGUCUGCAGGAGAUGGGCGCGGAGCUGCAGACAUCGCAGGAGGCAGCUGCCCGGCAGAACAUCCUUGGCUGCGAGCAUCUCCGGCACAGCACAGCUCUCCAGCAACGCCAUACUUCUGAUGAGACCUCUGCCCAUGAGGUGGCCAGAAGACUCCUACCUCGUUACCUCUGUGUUUAAUUUGGGGGUGCAGUUCCUGCAAGAAAGGGAGCACUGUGCCUAUUUUCCACAACAAAGAUUGAGCUUAGCCAAAGUCACACAAGGCAGUGUGUGGCCAAUGCAGCUUCAGGCUCUGCUUUUCUUACUGCUGCUCAUAUUCUCUUCUGCCAAUCUGGGCUUCCUCCCUCUCCAUCAGGCAAUAAGGAGUGCUUUUCUCAGCUUUAUUCUUUUUUUGCUUGCUUCGAUUCAUUUACUUGUUACUG